GUGGGGAAUAUUGGACAAUGGGCGAAAGCCUGAUCCAGCCAUGCCGCGUGUGUGAAGAAGGUCUUCGGAUUGUAAAGCACUUUAAGUUGGGAGGAAGGGCAGUAAGUUAAUACCUUGCUGUUUUGACGUUACCGACAGAAUAAGCACCGGCUAACUUCGUGCCAGCAGCCGCGGUAAUACGAAGGGUGCAAGCGUUAAUCGGAAUUACUGGGCGUAAAGCGCGCGUAGGUGGUUUUGUAAGUUGGAGGUGAAAUCCCCGGGCUCAACCUGGGAACUGCCUCCAAAACUGCAUGACUAGAGUACGGUAGAGGGUAGUGGAAUUUCCUGUUUAGCGGUGAAAUGCGUAGAUAUAGGAAGGAACACCAGUGGCGAAGGCGACUACCUGGACUGAUACUGACACUGAGGUGCGAAAGCGUGGGGAGCAAACAGGAUUAGAUACCCGUGUAGUCC
rnacentral:rRNA from 1 species